UCCCAUGUAGCUCAAUUGGUCAGAGCGUGCGGCUGUUAACCGCAAGGUUGUGUGUUCGAUUCACACCGUGGGAGC
rnacentral:tRNA from 2 species